AGGUGCUGCAUGGCUGUCGUCAGCUCGUGUCGUGAGAUGUUGGGUUAAGUCCCGCAACGAGCGCAACCCUUGUCAUUAGUUGCUACGAAAGGGCACUCUAUUGAGACUGCCGGUGACAAACCGGAGGAAGGUGGGGAUGACGUCAAGUCCUCAUGGCCCUUAUGGGUAGGGCUUCACACGUCAUACAAUGGUACAUACAGAGCGCCGCCAACCCGCGAGGGGGAGCUAAUCGCAGAAAGUGUAUCGUAGUCCGGAUUGUAGUCUGCAACUCGACUGCAUGAAGUUGGAAUCGCUAGUAAUCACGGAUCAGCAUGCGCGGUGAAUACGUUCCCGGGUCUUGUACAACAAUC
rnacentral:rRNA from 1 species